rnacentral:lncRNA from 1 species
AAGAAAUAAGAUAUUUUAGUUGUAAAUGUGCAAAGUACCAACAUAACUUACGUUAAACAUACAUUCAAUUUCAUUACAACCAAUAGGUUAGACGAUGUACAAGCUAUUACCAUAGCUGUCAAAAUGAUGUUACCUGUUGCAACCUUCUUCUUCAUACUAACAUGAAAACACAAAUAAACAGGUUAUUUCAUGACUAGUACAACAAAAAUUUAGUACAUGUUGCUAUAGCACCAAAACUAUCAACCUUAGAUCUGCCAUUUUAUGAUCUAUUUACAUACAAAAAAUUUGCACUUAUCAUUAUGCCAAAGUAUUCCAUUCUGCCAUCCAGCAAAAAGCAUAAAGAAGAAAAUCUCUUUUUUUGAAGUUUUAUUGAAAAAAAAGACAAGAAACUUUCUUCUUCUUCCAGUGAGCAAAAACACAAAAAUCCACCAACAGGUUUCUUCAAAUCAGUGAAGAGAUUUAGUCAACAACUCCCAAAAUUAUUAUAGAGAAAAGAUAGCCAGAAAAUUACCAUCUCCCAUACCUAAACUGUUCAUUCUCCUGAAUGACUAAUUUGUUGUUCCAUUCUUAAUUUUCAUGACCAUUACCUUGAAAGAGAUCAAGGUAUGUAUUAUCAUCAAAGCCUUUUUUUUGUUGAAUAUGAACUGACGAACUGGGUAGUUGUUGUUGUUGUUGUUGAACCUUCAGUUGUAGCAACUCCAUGACUAGUUUCCAGAUUAGAGAAAACAGAAAGGCACUGACUGCUAAAUGUCAUCGAACUUGGUAAGAUCCACUUUCCCUGUUUAAAUCCAUCAUUAUUGUAGGAAGUGGUGUUGGUACAAAUACAUGUGUUCCCUGAUAGAAAUUUGCACCUGUAACAUUAAAGCUACCACCACCUGGAACAGUAAAAUGAGUGGGAAAAACUAGGAAUAUCAGGACUCUUUGCAGUGUUAGCAAUAUUGCACAUCACAGUACCCAUUGUGUAGAUUAUAGGAGUGGUAUAUGAAAAUUGAUUUUCCAAAGUUUGGCAAGUGAGAUUAUGAGUAUUUCUAGCUUCUGUUAAUUCUUUUAUGAUAUUUCAACAUGUGCUGAUAAUACUGCUUCACGCACAGCUUGUUCACUUCUGAAAAUCUCCCAACUGUUCAUCAAUUCAGUCUGCCUUUGUAACAAUUCUUGCAUACUAACCAGAAUAUCAGGAAUGAAGAUGGUAGGCGUGGUUCCAAUUUCUGAAUUAAAAGGUUGUUCUGGCUCAUUCUCCCUUUCGUUUCCACUAUCAACAAGCAUUUGUUCCUGUUCAACUAGAGUUGGACCAGUGGGAGGUCUCAAACUAUGGAGAAAGUCACUAUCGAUGAAGUAGUAAUUUUUCGUCUUCGGUAGACCACUCAAAUCGACAUCAAAUAAGGAGGCCAAACGAGUGAUAGUUGAAGGAAAAUACAAUUGAUCCGACAACUAACAAUAGCAUUACUAAUCAAUCUCCCAAUAUUCAUAGGCAAUUCAUGCAUAAUCGCAUAUAUCAAAAGAACUCGUUCUAUAUUGUAGUUCGAGGUAUUCAAAUACGGGAUAAGCGAGAACUAACGAAUCUACCACAGGACCUUGUUAAUUCAAGCAUACAUGAACAAUUAAUACUCAAAGGGCGUUCAACAGUUCCCGAGAAAACUUUAACACCAUUAGGACACAACUCGCCCAUAACAUGUUUUACAAAAUCUACAU